AUGCCCCUACGGGACGCAACAGUAGGGAAUCUUCCACAAUGGGCGAAAGCCUGAUGGAGCAACGCCGCGUGGGUGGAGAAGGUCUUCGGAUCGUAAAACCCUGUUGUUAGAGAAGAAAGUGCGUGAGAGUAACUGUUCACGUUUCGACGGUAUCUAACCAGAAAGCCACGGCUAACUACGUGCCAGCAGCCGCGGUAAUACGUAGGUGGCAAGCGUUAUCCGGAUUUAUUGGGCGUAAAGAGAACGCAGGCGGUCUUUUAAGUCUGAUGUGAAAGCCUUCGGCUUAACCGGAGUAGUGCAUUGGG
rnacentral:rRNA from 1 species